AGUGAACGCUGGCGGUAGGCCUAACACAUGCAGGUCGAACGGCAGCACAGUAAGAGCUUGCUCUUACGGGUGGCGAGUGGCGGACGGGUGAGGAAUACAUCGGAAUCUACUUUUUCGUGGGGGAUAACGUAGGGAAACUUACGCUAAUACCGCAUAUGACCUACGGGUGAAAGCAGGGGAUCUUCGGACCUUGCGCGAUUGAAUGAGCCGAUGUCGGAUUAGCUAGUUGGCGGGGUAAAGGCCCACCAAGGCGACGAUCCGUAGCUGGUCUGAGAGGAUGAUCAGCCACACUGGAACUGAGACACGGUCCAGACUCCUACGGGAGGCAGCAGUGGGGAAUAUUGGACAAUGGGCGCAAGCCUGAUCCAGCCAUACCGCGUGGGUGAAGAAGGCCUUCGGGUUGUAAAGCCCUUUUGUUGGGAAAGAAAAGCAGCAGGUUAAUACCCCGCUGUUCUGACGGUACCCAAAGAAUAAGCACCGGCUAACUUCGUG
rnacentral:rRNA from 1 species